UUCAGUGGGGGGCGGUUGGACGGCGAUCGGUAGAGCCCCGAUGACCAUAGGGGCCGUCCGUUCGUACGAUAUCCGUCGUCUCCUACGCAUUUGAUUCUCGUCCGAAGGACGCCGCAGCCGGUUGGGUAGUUGCAAGCACGACGGCCUUAAAGGCGGACGCUGGCAGGUGGCCGGUGGGGGGGCUCGUCUCCCUCGCCGGUUGUUAGCCUGUCCGUCGGUGGCCCGUCACCCGACCGUGGUAUCAAGAGGCCCCCAUUGAGGGGGGCACUCAACGUCUCCACCCACUAAAGGGCCAAAGGGGCGGCGCCGUCCAGGGGGCAUCCCGCCGCUUGUCGCACGUCUCUCGGCGUGGACUCGUGGUAGAGGGUGUCGUCGCUGGCGGUGAAUGGACCCGUGGGAGGCAUGGAGGCUAGCGGCGAGUAGGUCGGUCACCCACCCGACCCGUCUUGAAACACGGACCAAGGAGUCUAACAUGUGCGCGAGUCAAUGGGUCUUGAAUAGGCCCAGAGGCGAAAUGAAAGCAAGGGGCGACCUCGUCGUCUGAGUUGGGAUCCGUCCUCUUCCUUAGGGGGCGGCGCACCAGCGACCCGUCCUAUCCGACUCGUUCGGUUGGGCGGUGUGUGAGCGUACACGUUGGGACCCGAAAGAUGGUGAACUAUGCCCGGACAGGACGAAGUCAGAGGAAACUCUGGUGGAGGUCCGCAGCGGUUCUGAC
rnacentral:rRNA from 1 species